GCCUUUGUAGUGCAGUGGUCAGCACGCUCGGCGCGUAUUCGAGAGGUCAGUGGUUCGAGUCCCGGCGAGACCA
rnacentral:tRNA from 1 species